rnacentral:rRNA from 1 species
UACGGGGGGGGCAAGCGUUGUUCGGAAUUACUGGGCGUAAAGCGCACGUAGGCGGCGCAGCAAGUUGGGGGUGAAAUCCCGAGGCUCAACCUCGGAAUUGCCUUCAAAACUGCUGUGCUCGAGUUCGGAAGAGGUGAGUGGAAUUCCCAGUGUAGAGGUGAAAUUCGUAGAGAUUGGGAAGAACACCAGUGGCGAAGGCGGCUCACUGGUCCGCAACUGACGCUGAGGUGCGAAAGCGUGGGGAGCAAACAGG